UCUCUCUCUCUCGCGCGUUCUUCUCUCCGAUGAGUCCAGUGGUUGACUUGCUGAAGCAGAACGUCCUCUGCAUUAUGGAAGAUGAUAUAUUAGAAAUGCUUCUUUAGUAUCUACUUAUUGGUAUAGUGCUGUCCCUUAAGUCUUGCCCUGGUUAUUAGUUAAGUAGUUAACCGUAGCUACUUUGGAGCAUGGGGACUUGCAGAACCAUGCACGUGGGCAACUCUGAACGUUUUGAAACCAUGCCGUGCUGUCUGUACCUUGCUUAUGUGGACUGAACUGAAGCCGUACUCGCCAAUGACUGCGCACAUGGCAGACGCUGCCCGGGUGGCUAAAGGUGUGGAACUGAAUAAAGGAUGUGGCUGGAGUGGAGACAUCAUCUUUAAAGGUGUGAAGCUGCCCCAAUGAGUUGAUGGCAUGGAGACUCCAUCUGCCAAGGUGUGCAACAGAACCAAGGGUGUGGAGGCAUCUGAAAAGAUUUGGGAGCCUACUCCCUCGUGGCCUGGCCUGUGGCUGAACCAUACACAUGAAGACAUACGCACGCAGGAGACUCCACCCAAAGUACUUACUGGUGGAGACAUCACCUCAAAAGGUGUGAAGCUGCCCCAAUGAGUUGAUGGCAUGGAGACUCCAUCUGCCAAGGUGUGGAACUGAAUAAAGGAUGUGGCUGGAGUGGAGACAUCAUCUUUAAAGGUAGGCUGCCUUUGCAAAACAUCCCUGCAGUCUCAGAACUGGACAUGUCGACUGGGGUGUUCCUCAUCUGAUGCCCCCUGCUGAUUUCCAGCCCCAACCUACCCUUCAGGUGCACAGUCACCCGAUCACAAUUUGGAGGAGCCUUUCCUGAGUUUUGUUCAGUGGUGAUAUUUAGUUCUGAACUUGAAGUGGUGUUUAAAAAUGUGUUAAUGUUAUACUGUGACACUUCACCUAUUUAAGAUGUAAAGUAUAACUGUGUGUGUUCACACCCCCUGUACUCUAUUGCACAAUUUGUUACAGCUUGAAUUAAAUUGAGGUUGUUACCAGCCUACACACAGUA